UAAUAAUAAAAAAUUGAAAAAAUCAAAAAAUUCUUAAAAAAUUGCAUAAUAACCCUUUCUCGGGUUAAAAUUGAAAAAUAACCCUUUUUCGGGUUAAAAUUGAAAAAAGAUGUUACAUAAAAUAGUUUGUAAGAUUUUCUAACAGCAUAUAUGCAAAGUAUUUUGAUUUAUUUGAAAAUAAUUGAAAACAGAUUUUCAAGGACGGUGUCGAGGUCACGGGGUCGGUGUCGUUUUUCGAAAUUUGUUAACUUAAUAUAAUAGAAGAUGUUUCGUUUUAAAUUAAGAAAUGUUAAAAUUAUUAAGUUAAAAACAUAUGAUUUUAAUGACACUUAAAAUUAAACACAAUAUUAUAGGUUACUAACUAAAAAUUGAAAAAAAAAACAAUAAAUAAUAAAAAAUAAUUAUAAAAAAUUGAAAAAAUCAUAAAAUUCUUAAAAAAUUGCAAAAUAACCCUUUUUCGGGUUAAAAUUGAAAAAAGAUGUUACAUAAAAAUAGUUUGUAAGAUUUUCUAACAGCAUAUAAGGAAAGUAUUUUGAUUUAUUUGAAAAUAAUUGAAAACAGAUUUUUCAAGGACGGUGUCGAGGUCACGGGGUCGGUGUCGUUAUUCGAAAUUUGUUAACUUAAUAUAAUAGAAGAUGUUUCGUUUUAAAUUAAGAAAUGUUAAAAUUAUUAAGUUAAAAACAUUUGAUUUUAAUGACACUUAAAAUUAAACACAAUAUUAUAGGAUACUAACUAAAAAUUGAAAAAACAACAAUAAAUAAUAAAAAAUAAUUAUAAAAAAUUGAAAAAAUCAAAAAAUUCUUAAAAAAUUGCAAAAUAACCCUUUCUCGAGUUAAAAUUGCAAAAUAACACUUUUUCGGGUUAAAAUUGAAAAAAGAUGUUACAUAAAAAUAGUUUGUAAGAUUUUCUAACAGCAUAUAUGCAAAGUAUUUUGAUUUAUUUGAAAAUAAUUGAAAACAGAUUUUUCAAGGACGGUGUCGAGGUCACGGGGUCGGUGUCGUUUUUCGAAAUUUGUUAACUUAAUAUAAUAGAAGAUGUUUCGUUUUAAAUUAAGAAAUGUUAAAAUUAUUAAGUUAAAAACAUUUGAUUUUAAUGACACUUAAAAUUAAACACAAUAUUAUAGGUUACUAACUAAAAAUUGAAAAAACAACAAUAAAUAAUAAAAAAUAAUUAUAAAAAAUUGAAAAAAUCAAAAAAUUCUUAAAAAAUUGCAAAAUAACCCUUUCUCGAGUUAAAAUUGCAAAAUAACACUUUUUCGGGUUAAAAUUGAAAAAAGAUGUUACAUAAAAAUAGUUUGUAAGAUUUUCUAACAGCAUAUAUGCAAAGUAUUUUGAUUUAUUUGAAAAUAAUUGAAAACAGAUUUUUCAAGGACGGUGUCGAGGUCACGGGGUCGGUGUCGUUUUUCGAAAUUUGUUAACUUAAUAUAAUAGAAGAUGUUUCGUUUUAAAUUAAGAAAUGUUAAAAUUAUUAAGUUAAAAACAUUUGAUUUUAAUGACACUUAAAAUUAAACACAAUAUUAUAGGUUACUAACUAAAAAUUGAAAAAACAACAAUAAAUAAUAAAAAAUAAUUAUAAAAAAUUGAAAAAAUCAAAAAAUUCUUAAAAAAUUGCAAAAUAACCCUUUUUCGGGUUAAAAUUGAAAAAUAACUCUUUUUCGGGUUAAAAUUGAAAAAAGAUGUUACAUAAAAAUAGUUUGUAAGAUUUUCUAACAGCAUAUAAGCAAAGUAUUUUGAUUUAUUUGAAAAUAAUUGAAAACAGAUUUUUCAAGGACGGUGUCGAGGUCACGGGGUCGGUGUCGUUUUUCGAAAUUUGUUAACUUAAUAUAAUAGAAGAUGUUUCGUUUUAAAUUAAGAAAUGUUAAAAUUAUUAAGUUAAAAACAUUUGAUUUUAAUGACACUUAAAAUUAAACACAAUAUUAUAGGUUACUAACUAAAAAUUGAAAAAACAACAAUAAAUAAUAAAAAAUAAUUAUAAAAAAUUGAAAAAAUCAAAAAAUUCUUAAAAAAUUGCAAAAUAACCCUUUUUAGGGUUAAAAUUGAAAAAAGAUGUUACAUGAAAAUAGUUUGUAAGAUUUUCUAACAGCAUAUAUGCAAAGUAUUUUGAUUUAUUUGAAAAUAAUUGAAAACAGAUUUUUCAAGGACGGUGUCGAGGUCACGGGGUCGGUGUCGUUUUUCGAAAUUUGUUAACUUAAUAUAAUAGAAGAUGUUUCGUUUUAAAUUAAGAAAUGUUAAAAUUAUUAAGUUAAAAACAUUUGAUUUUAAUGACACUUAAAAUUAAACACAAUAUUAUAGGUUACUAACUAAAAAUUGAAAAAACAACAAUAAAUAAUAAAAAAUAAUUAUAAAAAAUUGAAAAAAUCAAAAAAUUCUUAAAAAAUUGCAAAAUAACCCUUUUUCGGGUUAAAAUUGAAAAAUAACUCUUUUUCGGGUUAAAAUUGAAAAAAGAUGUUACAUAAAAAUAGUUUGUAAGAUUUUCUAACAGCAUAUAAGCAAAGUAUUUUGAUUUAUUUGAAAAUAAUUGAAAACAGAUUUUUCAAGGACGGUGUCGAGGUCACGGGGUCGGUGUCGUUUUUCGAAAUUUGUUAACUUAAUAUAAUAGAAGAUGUUUCGUUUUAAAUUAAGAAAUGUUAAAAUUAUUAAGUUAAAAACAUUUGAUUUUAAUGACACUUAAAAUUAAACACAAUAUUAUAGGUUACUAACUAAAAAUUGAAAAAACAACAAUAAAUAAUAAAAAAUAAUUAUAAAAAAUUGAAAAAAUCAAAAAAUUCUUAAAAAAUUGCAAAAUAACCCUUUUUAGGGUUAAAAUUGAAAAAAGAUGUUACAUGAAAAUAGUUUGUAAGAUUUUCUAACAGCAUAUAUGCAAAGUAUUUUGAUUUAUUUAAAAAUAAUUGAAAAUAGAUUUUUCAAGGACGGUGUCGAGGUCACGGGGUCGGUGUCGUUUUUCGAAAUUUGUUAACUUAAUAUAAUAGAAGAUGUUUCGUUUUAAAUUAAGAAAUGUUAAAAUUAUUAAGUUAAAAACAUUUGAUUUUAAUGACACUUAAAAUUAAACACAAUAUUAUAGGUUACUAACUAAAAAUUGAAAAAACAACAAUAAAUAAUAAAAAAUAAUUAUAAAAAAUUGAAAAAAUCAAAAAAUUCUUAAAAAAUUGCAAAAUAACCCUUUUUCGGGUUAAAAUUGAAAAAUAACUCUUUUUCGGGUUAAAAUUGAAAAAAGAUGUUACAUAAAAAUAGUUUGUAAGAUUUUCUAACAGCAUAUAAGCAAAGUAUUUUGAUUUAUUUGAAAAUAAUUGAAAACAGAUUUUUCAAGGACGGUGUCGAGGUCACGGGGUCGGUGUCGUUUUUCGAAAUUUGUUAACUUAAUAUAAUAGAAGAUGUUUCGUUUUAAAUUAAGAAAUGUUAAAAUUAUUAAGUUAAAAACAUUUGAUUUUAAUGACACUUAAAAUUAAACACAAUAUUAUAGGUUACUAACUAAAAAUUGAAAAAACAACAAUAAAUAAUAAAAAAUAAUUAUAAAAAAUUGAAAAAAUCAAAAAAUUCUUAAAAAAUUGCAAAAUAACCCUUUUUCGGGUUAAAAUUGAAAAAAGAUGUUACAUAAAAAUAGUUUGUAAGAUUUUCUAACAGCAUAUAUGCAAAGUAUUUUGAUUUAUUUGAAAAUAAUUGAAAAUAGAUUUUUCAAGGACGGUGUCGAGGUCACGGGGUCGGUGUCGUUUUUCGAAAUUUGUUAACUUAAUAUAAUAGAAGAUGUUUCGUUUUAAAUUAAGAAAUGUUAAAAUUAUUAAGUUAAAAACAUUUGAUUUUAAUGACACUUAAAAUUAAACACAAUAUUAUAGGUUACUAACUAAAAAUUGAAAAAACAACAAUAAAUAAUAAAAAAUAAUUAUAAAAAAUUGAAAAAAUCAAAAAAUUCUUAAAAAAUUGCAAAAUAACCCUUUUUCGGGUUAAAAUUGAAAAAAGAUGUUACAUAAAAAUAGUUUGUAAGAUUUUCUAACAGCAUAUAUGCAAAGUAUUUUGAUUUAUUUGAAAAUAAUUGAAAACAGAUUUUUCAAGGACGGUGUCGAGGUCACGGGGUCGGUGUCGUUUUUCGAAAUUUGUUAACUUAAUAUAAUAGAAGAUGUUUCGUUUUAAAUUAAGAAAUGUUAAAAUUAUUAAGUUAAAAACAUUUGAUUUUAAUGACACUUAAAAUUAAACACAAUAUUAUAGGUUACUAACUAAAAAUUGAAAAAACAACAAUAAAUAAUAAAAAAUAAUUAUAAAAAAUUGAAAAAAUCAAAAAAUUCUUAAAAAAUUGCAAAAUAACCCUUUUUCGGGUUAAAAUUGAAAAAUAACUCUUUUUCGGGUUAAAAUUGAAAAAAGAUGUUACAUAAAAAUAGUUUGUAAGAUUUUCUAACAGCAUAUAUGCAAAGUAUUUUGAUUUAUUUGAAAAUAAUUGAAAACAGAUUUUUCAAGAACGGUGUCGAGGUCACGGGGUCGGUGUCGUUUUUCGAAAUUUGUUAACUUAAUAUAAUAGAAGAUGUUUCGUUUUAAAUUAAGAAAUGUUAAAAUUAUUAAGUUAAAAACAUUUGAUUUUAAUGACACUUAAAAUUAAACACAAUAUUAUAGGUUACUAACUAAAAAUUGAAAAAACAACAAUAAAUAAUAAAAAAUAAUUAUAAAAAAUUGAAAAAAUCAAAAAAUUCUUAAAAAAUUGCAAAAUAACCCUUUAUCGGGUUAAAAUUAAAAAAAGAUGUUACAUAAAAAUAGUUUGUAAGAUUUUCUAACAGCAUAUAAGCAAAGUAUUUUGAUUUAUUUGAAAAUAAUUGAAAACAGAUUUUUCAAGGACGGUGUCGAGGUCACGGGGUCGGUGUCGUUUUUCGAAAUUUGUUAACUUAAUAUAAUAGAAGAUGUUUCGUUUUAAAUUAAGAAAUGUUAAAAUUAUUAAGUUAAAAACAUUUGAUUUUAAUGACACUUAAAAUUAAACACAAUAUUAUAGGUUACUAACUAAAAAUUGAAAAAACAACAAUAAAUAAUAAAAAAUAAUUAUAAAAAAUUGAAAAAAUCAAAAAAUUCUUAAAAAAUUGCAAAAUAACCCUUUUUCGGGUUAAAAUUGAAAAAAGAUGUUACAUAAAAAUAGUUUGUAAGAUUUUCUAACAGCAUAUAAGCAAAGUAUUUUGAUUUAUUUGAAAAUAAUUGAAAACAGAUUUUUCAAGGACGGUGUCGAGGUCACGGGGUCGGUGUCGUUUUUCGAAAUUUGUUAACUUAAUAUAAUAGAAGAUGUUUCGUUUUAAAUUAAGAAAUGUUAAAAUUAUUAAGUUAAAAACAUUUGAUUUUAAUGACACUUAAAAUUAAACACAAUAUUAUAGGUUACUAACUAAAAAUUGAAAAAACAACAAUAAAUAAUAAAAAAUAAUUAUAAAAAAUUGAAAAAAUCAAAAAAUUCUUAAAAAAUUGCAAAAUAACCCUUUUUCGGGUUAAAAUUGAAAAAUAACUCUUUUUCGGGUUAAAAUUGAAAAAAGAUGUUACAUAAAAAUAGUUUGUAAGAUUUUCUAACAGCAUAUAAGCAAAGUAUUUUGAUUUAUUUGAAAAUAAUUGAAAACAGAUUUUUCAAGGACGGUGUCGAGGUCACGGGGUCGGUGUCGUUUUUCGAAAUUUGUUAACUUAAUAUAAUAGAAGAUGUUUCGUUUUAAAUUAAGAAAUGUUAAAAUUAUUAAGUUAAAAACAUUUGAUUUUAAGGACACUUAAAAUUA